UCGACAGCUGGGAAGAUGCGUCCCAUUCCUUUUAGAUUAGUCCCAUGUUCCUCGGCGGUGGGUUCCCCUUCUGGUUGACUGAUCAAGAUCCAAUGAGAGUCCAUCUGAAUCAGGUGAAAGGCUGUAAGUAGGCACAGGGAGCCAAGCAACUCUGUGCACAGACUAAGCAGUGGAGACCAGGGGACAGUCUUACCUCAUGAAUAGGCAGAGCGAAGCUCAGCAGGAGUGGACGAGGACACGAGGAUUGCUGGGAACAUGAACUGAUGUACUCGCAGUGUGGAUAAAACUGAAAGACUACACGUGUAGUGUCUCCCACCCAUCCCCCUCUUCCUCUAACCAAAGGAAAAACGUGUAUGCAGGGUUGGUCAGGUUCUGGUGCUGUCUUCAGACUCCCUCUCUGGGUCACAGUGUACUCAUUGUCAACUCCAGCAAAAUUGUUGAAUAAAGUGAUUGGGAUUGUGAUGAGUCAUCCUGACAGGAUACAAUAUCUGCAAUCUGUGCCUGCUCCUCGAGAUUACUGUUGAUGUGAUUUUUGAUCUUGCAUUGAAUCAACUGGGUGUCUGCAGUGACAUGAAGAUUUAUUUUGUCCUUGUAUUUGUCUUUACACAGCACUAUCUGAGCAAGUCAGAAGAGGGGUAUAGAAGAACUGAACUCUGGAGGUGAAUCCCGGAGCUGUGAGGAAGCAAUCCCAGAGCGGCGGCCAGUGAGAGGAAGCAGUCUUGGGUGGAGGCCAGCGAGGAGAAUCAAUUUCCAGAGCGGAGGCCAGUGAGGGGAAGCAGUGUCAAGCGGAGGCUUGUGAGACGGAUCGUGUCUCAUAGUAGAGACGAGCAAGGAGAAACUGACCUGUGUGGAGGCUAUUGAAGGGAAUCGAGUUCCGGAGCAGAGAAUGGCACAGGGAAGCACUUCCAGAGAAAACUUAUCUUGGACCAGCUGAGAGCUGGUGCAAAGCAGGCUGGAGACUUGGAAUGGUGCAGUGCUGCGGUUGGAUUGGGGUCUGGCACGGAUUGUCAGAUCCUGAGCUCAGCUGCUGCAAUGUAAUGAUUAUGUGUACUUUGUUCAGGAUGUAGGUUUGCUCGCUGAGCUGGAAGGUACAUUUUCAGAUGU